rnacentral:rRNA from 1 species
CACGACCUCAGAUCAGACGGGAAUACCCGCCGAAUUUAAGCAUAUUAGUAAGCGGAGGAAAAGAAACUAACCAGGAUUCCCCCAGUAACUGCGAGUGAAAAGGGAAAAGCCCAGCGCCGAAGCCACCGUCCGCUCGCGGACGGCAAGGCAAUGUGGCGUUAAGGAGGAGCCCGCCUUGACCUGGCGCUUCGUACACCGUUCCGCGGAAGCCCGAGUCCCCCUGACUGGGGCCACGGCCCACGGCGGGUGCAAGGCCCCUUCGGCUUCGCCUCGGCGGAACGGAGGUUGGCGGCUCAUCACUCCUCAGAGUCGGGUUGCUUGAGAGUGCAGCCCUAAGCGGGAGGUAAACUCCUCCUAAGGCUAAAUACGACCACGAGACCGAUAGCGAACAAGUACCGUGAGGGAAAGUUGCAAAGAACUUUGAAGAGAGAGUUCAAGAGUACGUGAAACCGCUCGGAGGUAAACGGAUGGGCCCUCGAAGCUCGAACGGGGGGAUUCAGUCCGUCGGCAGGCGUUUCGCAGAGUCACUCCGUAACCGGAUCCCGUCAAACGGACCGGGCUGCGGCUUUCGCUCGAAACGAUUCCUUCGACGACGGGUGCACUUCCCCCUCAGUAGGACGCCGCGACCGGUCGGGCAACGCUUAGGCUGUGAGAGCGGGCACGGGGUUCCCGCGAUAGGUAUCCGUUUUCGGCCCGGACCGACAGCUCGGCCUGCCGCGUCUUCCGAUCGGAGUUACAAUCCGGACCCUCCGUGCUUCGCCACCCGACCGCUAAAUUGGUCUCGAGAUCGCAGACGCGUUACCGCGUUCGGUCGUUUCCGAACUCCGGUUCGGUUGCGGCUCGCAACGUUCGCACUCGUUCCGGACAGCAGAGCGCGUCGAGUAAAGAGUUCCUCUUCCCCGCCGGUUACCCGCACGCUUCGGUUGGCGCGGUGCCGAGUCGGGAGGUUGAAUGCGGCGGACGCCCGCGUCGUCGGGCGGCCGUUGGCUCCGCGCUCGCCGCUGGUUCGUACACGGAAUUCGCACUCCGGCGUGGAUUGGUAAUCGCUCACGGUCGGCGGCGAGUAGGUCGGUCACCCAUCCGACCCGUCUUGAAACACGGACCAAGGAGUCUAACAUGCGUGCAAGUCGUAGGGUCUGCUCUUUUCCGAACCGAGCUAAACCCGAAGGCGAAACGAAAGUAAAGGUUUGUCCGUCUUGUCCUUUUCGACCCCUUCCCAUCUUGCCGGCAACGGCUCGCGGAGGGGCGUGAGUUUAAGGAGAGACGACGACCGAGGCGGGAUCCUAGAGGCCCACCAUAACCUCGUACCGUUGUCGUACCGUUYCGCUCGUCGGUUCGGUCGAARCGGGGGCGCACCGCCGGCCCGUUCAARCCGCCGGUAGGAGGAGCUCCGUCUCUCGGGCCGCAUCAUYUUCUGCCUYUCGGCCUCCUCUUCGCGGGGGAGGUCGUCAGCUCCUGAAGGGUGCGGUCUUCGCAAGAUUCGGCGGUUGCCUCUUUUCCGAUCAGCUCGGCGGAGCGGAGCUAGAGCACGCACGUUGGGACCCGAAAGGUGGUGAACUAUGCCCGGGCAGGACGAAGCCAGAGGAAACUCUGGUGGAGGUUCGUAGCGAAUCUGACGUGCAAAUCGAUCGUCGGACCCCGGGUAUAGGGGCGAAAGACUAAUCGAACCACCUAGUAGCUGGUUCCCUCCGAAGUUUCCCUCAGGAUAGCUGGCGCUCGGAGAAACCAGUCUCAUGCGGUAAAGCGAAUGAUUAGAGGCAUUGGGCUCGAAACGAGCUCAACCUAUUCUCAAACUUUGAAUGCGUGAGAAGUCCGGCUUUCGAGAAAGCCCGGACGUCGGAUGCGAGUGCCCAGUGGGCCACUUUUGGUAAGCAGAACUGGCGCUGUGGGAUGAACCAAAAGCCGGGUUAAGGCGCCCGAUGCGGACGCUUAUCAGACCCCAUGAAAGGCGUCGGUUGCUAUAGACAGCAGGACGGUGGCCAUGGAAGUCGGAAUCCGCUAAGGAGUGUGUAACAACUCACCUGCCGAAGCAACUGGCCCUGAAAAUGGAUGGCGCUCCAGCGUCGAGCCUAACCCCGGCCGCCGAAACGGGCAGAAACGGCAGCGGCUCGGUCUCUUCGUCUCG